rnacentral:siRNA from 1 species
GGAUAAAAAGUUUCAGGCCCUAA